AUGAAGGCCAAACAGCCUCCUUUCAAAAGAGCACGUCAGGACAAAGAACCUUCCGCUGCUGUGGCAAGUGACUAUGAUGCUGAUUCCAGUGCUUCAACAGUCAUUCUGUCAUCGCCUUCAAGUUCAAGCACCCCACGGCAAGAAAAUGACAGCAUUGAUGAAGCAUCUGAUGGUCCUGACAACAGCCUUGACAGCCAGAAAACCCAGGCAAGACAUUACAGGACCCUACAAGAAAUGUACAAAGCAAAGAAGCCAAAUAAAGCUGCUGUAACCCAUCUAUUAGACCUGGAGUUCCAGUCCAGAAGAAGUUUCAUUGACUCAAAUGUAUUGAAGGAGCAAGACAAACCCACAAAUAUUUUGCAAGCGUACCCCUGCUUCAAAGAAUUGGACCAUGCAAUGGAUGAACUACGAAGAAUCAUUGAGCCAAACAACUCCAAAUACAUUUCUGAGGUGAAGGACAGGUGGGAGACCUUCUACUCCAAGGUUCAGUUUUAUGGAGUGAUGAAAAAAGUCAUGAAGCCUCCAAGGACAUUAAAUGGAGGUAAAACUUUAAUUUAAUUUGAAUCUGUAUAGAUCAAGGGUUCUCAACUCUGGUCCUUAAGGUCCAGUAUAACUCCAAUCCUAAUUAAACAAACCUGAGCUAAUCUGUGUUUCCAGUUUCUAACAAAAAUCUACAGGCUGGUGACUUUAGAGCUAAAGGUUGGAGCUGACCUGUAAUCUCAAGGGCCAAGUGUUGAGAACCCUUGUUAUAGAUCAGUUAUUUUUUUAAUUCAAGAAGUUUUCUGUUUUCAGUUGAAAACAAUGUUGUGUAAACAGUCCCUUAAUUCAGGUCUCCAGGAUCAGAAACCAGUGGUAUAGAUUAUUCCCAUACAUCUACAGUAAUAUCUGAUGUUAAUAUCUUUUUUUUUUUUAACUUAUCUAGUUGAACAUGCCAUUGCUGUUUUUACUGCCCUACCGCUGCUCUUCCCAUCUGGGUCUGCAGCACCGAAGAAACAGGUCCCAAUCAGUGAGGCUCUUUUCCAUGUUCUGACGGUGAGUUUUACUUUAAGUAGUGAUAAGUUAAUAACAGGUGACUACAUUGUCAAUAAAAUACUAAGUUAAAACCAUCCCAAUUGCACUACGUAAAAUUGGACAUGCAAUGUAACAACUAACUUAAAGGUAUUGUAGAAAUUUUUUUAAUUAUGUCUUCAUUUACUUAAUCACAACCUGCUGAACACAAAAGUAAGAUAUUUUGAAGAAUGUUGAUAUGCCAACCCAGAUCUGUUGGGUUGGCAUUCACUUCCAUUGAAGAAAAAAAAAUAUGGAAGUGAAUAGUGACCCAGAUCUUAUAUUAAUUUUUGCUGUGUUUGUAGUCUGAAUUCUGUAUUUUUGUUAUUUGGUUUUCUAGCCCUCAGAGGACCCGGAUACCUACAUCCACAGGCGUGCACUUUCCAGUCCUGUCUUGCUGGUUGGUGAGGAGAACUGCAUGGUGGUUGUAGGUACAACCCCAGUUCUAACAUUUGACAAAGACUUGCUCUAUGAGGGGCCUCUCUACCUCCUGGCCUAUUACUAUGCAUUUCAUCUCACAUAUCCAAAGUGUCUUGCAACACUCCUGUCUGUGUUGCAAACACAAGUUCUGAGAGAUGUCAUCCACGAGCAGGAUGAAACCCCCUCGUACAAAAAGGCCAUUCAUGAAUGGAGAAUGUUUGUUGACUAAUUGCUGUUUCAAACUGCUGUGGCUGAGAGACAGCUGCAUUUUUUUUUCGGCCAUUACAUUUGCACUUGAUUUGUGCUGUUAGGAGUUUUUCCCCAUUUUCAGGAGAUUAAAUGUAUCUAACAUACAGUAAUGCAGCACAGCAAAACCAAAAAAAGUAAUUGCUGUGUGUAACUUUACAGGACUGCUGAGGGUAUACAGUGUUGUUUUGUGCCAGAGUAUAUUUUUUGUUGUUAUUAUUAACGUUGGACUGUUCAUCCUGUUUUGCUGUACCUCAGUUGUUUAAGAGAAAUGAAAAUGUUCAUUUUUGAAUCUGCCAUGGAUUCAAGGCAUUGUUGACCCAAACUUCAAUUACUUCCUAAUCUUAUGUUGUUUCAAACCUGUUUUUUUUUUCUUUUGGCUACAGAAGAUAUUAUUUAGAAUGUUGGGAACUGUUGAUGGUAGCUAUUGACUUUCAUAGUAUUUUUUUUAUUUAUUUUGUAUAUUUUUCUAGCUAUGAAAGCUGGCGACAUUCUUCAAAGUGUCGUCUUCUGCAAAAAAAAAAAAAAAAACUCAUAAGGAUUUGAAGAACAUAAGGGUGAGCAUGAUAAUUAUUUGAUUUUUGGGUUGCUAUCAUGUUACGAAAUAAAUUGAUCCAGGCUGUUUGAAGCUUAAAUGCUGUUUGAGUUUGUGUAGACUGAGGCAAAGCAUUUUGCGUAGAAUACUUGCGGUUUCUGUGCCAGGUAUUUUAUUUAAUUUUAAAGUGUAAGCUUGUCUUUGCUUAUCCUGCCUUAUGCUCCAUUUGUUUAGAACUUUAAAGAAUGUUCUUUAAUAAAUGUUCAGCAAAGCUGGAAGUUGUUUCUUCACUUAAAGUGGGGGAAGGUGUGGGAGGUACUUUCUUUUAAGAGUUUUCAUCUCAUUUAGGUUUUGUGUGAUUUAAAAAAAAUCUAAAUAGGCUGGAUUUAAGGUAAACUAUUCUGCUUUCAAUGCAUUUUCCCCCUAAAAUUAUUAUUGUCGUGCUUCAAAAAAGAGAAAACUGCUCAAUUUUAAGCUUGUUUGUCUAGUUUUAAGAACUAACUGUAGAUUUACUGACUAGAUUUAAGUUCAAAUAUUCUAGUUUUAAUGCAAUUUGUUCUAGAAUUAUUCAUGUUCAGUG
ensembl:lincRNA